GAUGAACGCUAGCGGCAGGCCUAACACAUGCAAGUCGAGGGGUAGAGGCUUUCGGGCCUUGAGACCGGCGCACGGGUGCGUAACGCGUAUGCAAUCUGCCUUGUACUGAGGGAUAGCCCAGAGAAAUUUGGAUUAACACCUCAUAGUAUUUUAGUGUGGCAUCACAUUAUUAUUAAAGGUUACGGUACAAGAUGAGCAUGCGUCCCAUUAGCUAGUUGGUAUGGUAACGGCAUACCAAGGCUACGAUGGGUAGGGGUCCUGGGAGGGAGAUCCCCCACACUGGUACUGAGACACGGACCAGACUCCUACGGGAGGCAGCAGUGAGGAAUAUUGGUCAAUGGUCGCAAGACUGAACCAGCCAUGCCGCGUGCAGGAUGAAGCAUCUAUGGUGUGUAAACUGCUUUUGUGCGGGAAGAAACACCGCUACGUGUAGCGGCUUGACGGUACCGUAAGAAUAAGGAUCGGCUAACUCCGUGCCAGCCGCCGCAGUAAUAC
rnacentral:rRNA from 1 species